rnacentral:tRNA from 1 species
GCCGGGGUAGCCAAGUGGACUACGGCGCGGGCCUUGAGAGCCCGUGACUCUUCGGAGUCGCGCGGGUUCAAAUCCCGUCCCCGGCGCCA